rnacentral:lncRNA from 1 species
AAAAGCUUGAGUCCAUAAAAGAUACCCUAUAACUCAGUAGCUACGGCCCGAUCCACACCCUAAUUGCUCAUGAAGUCAGACACCCAUUUGUUAUGGUUAUCCCUAAUGACGGGGGAGAGUAUGGAGAUGAUCGAAUCAACUCUUAUAACUCACUCAACAUUAAGAAAUACCGAAACUUCAACCGUUUAGAUAAAUUCUUCUCUCUAAUUGAAUCUACAAU